UGGGGAAUAUUGGACAAUGGGCGAAAGCCUGAUCCAGCAAUGCCGCGUGAGUGAUGAAGGCCCUAGGGUUGUAAAGCUCUUUUACCCGGGAUGAUAAUGACAGUACCGGGAGAAUAAGCUCCGGCUAACUCCGUGCCAGCAGCCGCGGUAAUACGGAGGGAGCUAGCGUUGUUCGGAAUUACUGGGCGUAAAGCGCGCGUAGGCGGUUUUUUAAGUCAGAGGUGAAAGCCCGGGGCUCAACCCCGGAAUUGCCUUUGAAACUGGAUAACUUGAAUCUUGGAGAGGUCAGUGGAAUUCCGAGUGUAGAGGUGAAAUUCGUAGAUAUUCGGAGGAACACCAGUGGCGAAGGCGACUGAAUGGACAAGUAUUGACGCUGAGGUGCGAAAGCGUGGGGAGCAAACA
rnacentral:rRNA from 1 species